GAGCACGCUUGCUUUGUAGCCGGCCGGCGCCGGCGUCUCUUUCUACCUUCUCGACUGUUAAUUUACGACUUUCGGUUUCAUAUUUCAUCCAGACUAGUAUUUAGUAAAUUCAUCGAGUUCUGGAGCCCUGCGACUUAUUUGUGUGCUUAUUUGCAUUUGAUCUUUGAUUCGUUUCCGCGUGCACACAAUUAGGCUGUGACGUGACAUAGAGGGUGUCCCGUAAGUGAUCAAAGGGGCACUAAGAUAAUCUUUGGCUCAAA